rnacentral:lncRNA from 1 species
UUCGACAACACCCAACUUGACAACACCUCAGCCACAAGCAUGCACCUGCACAAAUGAAAAGCCUUUUUUUCAGGUUGGUAAUUGUUUUUCAUUUUCAAUUUUGACUAGGGAGAUUUUAUUGGCACCCCAUUAUUUGCUUUUUGCAACCCAUACUAAUUUUAAACAUGAAAAACCUAUUUUAUCCUUGUAUAUAAUUACCGUUAAGGACAAAAAAAAUUUAAAACUAAAAUUAAAAUUGCUCACUACACUCAUAAAUGUUCAUGCAACCCUAGUUUGACUUUUUUCUCAAACCAUCAUGUUCCUACAACUCUAACGAGAUUUAUACGUUUAUAUUGGUGAAAAAAUAUCUUGUAUAUAUUCAUGAAGGGUGAGGUUGAAGUUAGAGAGGCUUCGAAUGAGGUAUGAGUUUUUUUUGGUGUUUUGCAAGUUUAGUAUUUCAUGAUGGUCACUGGUUGCGCUCAGCACAUCAGUACCGAACGCGAUAGGUAAAUUCGGUAGGAAGCCACCGAAAAGUUGCACGUAUUUCGAUUGUGUUUGACCGGUCAUGAACUUAAUAUGCGGUGGAGAUCCACCGUAACAUGGAACGUUGUUCAGUGGUUUAUUACUAAAAUUUUACUUGUGUUUCAGUAGCAAUGAACCGAAAUUUAUUUAUUUAUUUAGUAACUUAUUGUUGACCACAAAUUUAAUGCAAGCUAUUUUGAUCUUACUCCCAUUAAAGGAACAAAAACAAGGUGACACCCCUACUAAAGGCUACAAUGUGGGAACAUAAUGUGUAAUGGACCAUAGUGAUCAAUUCACAACUUAUUCGGUAAUUAUUUUGAAUUUUUUUUUGGUCUAAAAUCAUUUUUAGUAUCAUUAACGUGGUAUUAAUGUUUCAAAUUUUAUCUUUAAAUAAUAUAAUUUUUAUGUGUAGAUAUUCAAUGGUAGAGAUGCAUUACUUAGAUGGGCUCGUGUACAAGGAAAAAUGAAUAAUAUUGUCAUUGUAAUUAAAAGGUCUGAUUAUGGAGGUGAGGGCAAGAGGAGACAUCGAGUAAUACUUGCUUGCGAGAGGAGUGGCAACUAUAAGUCUUGCAAGUCUAGUGAGACAACUGGUAUAAGGUCAGAUAUGCAAAUAGUGAUAUGAAAAAAAUGUGCUAGGGACACUUGUACCAAGAAAUGUGGAUGCCCAUUCUUGUUAAAAGGUGUCAAUAUUGGUGAUGGGGAUGAUUGGAAGUUGGAGGUGGUUUGUGGAAUACAUAACCAUCCUAUUUCAGAGUAUCUUCAAGGUCAUUUAUUUGUGGGGCGACUUUCUGAAGAGAAGAAUGCCUUGUUGGUGGACAUGUCUAAGAGUUUGGUGAAAUCUAGAGAUAUUUUAGUCACCCUGAAGGAUAGAGAUGCAAUGAAUGUUUCAACUAUGAAGACAAUAUACAAUGCUAGGAUUCGAAAUAGAACCAAAGAGUUUGCUGGGAGAACCCAAAUGCAACAAUUGCUUACUAAGUUAUCCGAACACAAUUAUAUUGAGUGGCAUAGGACAUCUAGUGAUAUUGUAAUUGACCUGUUUUGGAGACACCUUAUUAAUAUUGAGAUUUUGCGUGCAUUUUCACAUGUACUUAUCAUGGAUUGCACUUAUAAAACUAAUAGGUAUUGUCCCACUAUUGCAAAUUGUGGGGGUGACAUCUACUAAUAUGACAUUCUCUGUUGCGUAUGCGUAUAUGAAUGCCGAGAAGAAAGACAAUUACACAUGGACUUUGAUUGCAUUGAGGAGUUUGUUGGAUGAUAAUUAUCUUCCUAGUGUUAUUGUCACCGAUCGAGAGUUAGAACUCAUGAAUUCUAUUACGUCUAUAUUUCCGAAAGCACGACAUUUAUUAUGUAAAUGACAUAUUAACAAAGGAGUGUUGGCAUACUGCCAGAAGUUAUUUGGGACCCUCAAACAAUAGAAACAAUUUAAUGAGGAUUGGAAUACUUUGGUUGGUUCAAAAACAGAGGAAUAUUGGCGUUGUUUACGACAGAUUGAGUCUGAGUUCAGUGAAUUUCAAAAAGCUCUUGAAUACAUACAUAACAAUUGGUUAAAUCCAUUUAAGGAUAGGUUUGUACCCGCAUGGACAGACAUCUUGGAUCAACGACCUCUGUAUCAACAUUACUAUCAUGAGUAAGAGCUACAUAUUCAACCUCUGUAGUAUCCUCAAAGUGAUCUUGGAGAGCCACUCUCUGUCUCCUCGUUGAGGUUGUGGGACGCUGUCUAUUAGGUCGAGAUGAUGAAGCCUCAGUAGUACCUCUGUGAGUCCUCUUCAUAUCUAAAAAAAUAAUAUUAAGUACACACUCAAUAACGUAUUCGGUAGAUGAUCACUGAAAAAUGGAAACAAAUUCGGUGGACUAUCACUGAAAAAAGAAAACAUAUUCAGUGGAGUACCAUUGAAAAACCAAAAUAGAUCUGGUGGGCAUCUCCUAAAAAAUGGAAACAAAUUCAGUGGACUACUACUGAAACAAGGUAAUGAUUUUGGUGGUAACCCACCAAAAGUAAAAUUAAUUUCAAGUUGAAAUUCGGUGGACUACCACUGAAGCAAUGUAACCAUUUUGGUGGUAAUCCACCGAAACGAAAAUCAAGUUUCAUAAAACCAAGUUCGAACCAUACACCCACGAAGUUGAAAUCAAUAAUUUAAAUCAGACUUUGGCUUUUUAAAAGUGAAAUCAAACCUAGGCUUAAUCAACACUUAGAAAUGUAAAUAUAGAAAUCAAAAUUGAAAUCAAACCUUGGUUCUUCGAAGAAUUUGUGAAAAGUUGACAGAUUGGUGAUGGAUGUUUGCGAUGGCUGAGGUGAUGGUGGUGUGCGACUGGGUAAGGCGUUUGGGGUUGGCUGUGGGGUGUGAUGGCUUUGUUUCAGAGAUGGGUUGUGCAAUGGGUUCAGGUUUGCAAAGAUGGGUUGUGUGAUGGGGAUUGCAGAGAUGGGUCGUGCGAUGACUCUGUUUCAAAGGGGAUGAGGUGUGCAGUGAAGCUUGUUGUAAGUCUGAUAGGGUGUGUCUGCAAGAUGAGGGAAUUUUUGAUGGGGUGGGGCUUGAUAUGGGAUGAGGUGGGGUUUGAUAUCAGAUGGGGUGUCUUUGAAAAGGAAAGGGAUUUUCAAUGGGUGGUGUGUGAUAUGGGAUGAGGUUUAUACAGCAAGUUAGAGAAUGAGGUUUAUGAGGGCAAUUUAGGAAGAAAAAUGGGAUAUAGUGAGUAAUUUGAAAUUUUAUUAAAAUUCAGGGGUGUAAAGAGAUUAUGGGGUGCAAAGAGCAAAUAAUGGAGUUCAUAUAGAAUUUUCCUUAAAAAAAAAGGAAAAAGAAAAAAAAAAGCGCCAUAGCCUACAACUAACGUGUCAUUUUCGAUUUUCCUACUUCGCAACGAAAACUACUCCAAAAAAAUUUCCAUUUCAUUUUUGCCGCCUUUCACUUGCCGUCGAUCUGUGCUACAAGUCACCGGUGAGCGCACGCUGGUUAACCUGUGCACCCCGCCUAGGGCAAAGUACUUGCGGUCAUCCUCUGCUUCUUCACUUCACUCUACUCUGCAACUCUCUGUGAAGC